CUCGCGGUUAGACGGCGCCAGACCGGACGUUGAGCGGUGGGCUCUGUGGGCCGCGCCCAUCAUGCUCAAGCGCUGCGGCCGGCGCCUACUGCUGGGGCUGGCGGGCGCGCUGCUCGCUUGCCUUCUGGUGCUCACGGCUGAUCCGCCACCGCCUCGGGUGCCCGCCGAGGGCGGCCGGCGUGCGCUACACAGCCUGGUGGCUCCAGCGCCUGGUUUGGAGGCAGCGGCAGCGCCCGAAACACUCGCCCGUGAGGUGCACAGCCUGUCCGAGUACUUCAGCCUGCUAACCCGCGCGCGCAGGGAUGCAGGCCUGCCGCCCGCUGGCGCUCCCCGUCCCUCCUAUGGUCACCCGCGCGCCCCGGCCGAGCCUCUGGCGCCCCGCGAUGUCUUCAUCGCGGUCAAGACCACCAGGAAGUUUCACCGCGCGCGCCUCGACCUGUUGCUGGAGACCUGGAUCUCGCGCCACAAGGAGAUGACUUUCAUCUUCACCGACGGGGAGGACAAACUGCUGGCCAGGCACACGGGCAACGUGGUCAACACCAACUGCUCAGCUGCCCACAGCCGCCAGGCGCUGUCCUGCAAGAUGGCUGUGGAGUACGACCACUUCGUUGAGUCUGGGAGGAGAUGGUUCUGCCACGUGGACGAUGACAACUACGUCAACCUGCGGGCCCUGCUUCGGCUGCUGGCCAGCUACCCGCACACCCAGGACAUCUACAUCGGCAAGCCCAGCCUGGACAGGCCCAUCCAGGCUACCGAGCGCAUCAGCGAGAACAGGGUGCGUCCUGUCCACUUCUGGUUUGCCACCGGUGGGGCUGGCUUCUGCAUCAGCCGAGGGCUGGCACUGAAGAUGAGCCCGUGGGCCAGUGGUGGCCACUUCAUGAGCACUGCGGAGCGCAUCCGGCUGCCAGACGACUGCACUGUGGGCUACAUUGUGGAAGCUCUGCUAGGCGUACCCCUCAUCCGCAGUGGCCUCUUCCACUCACACCUGGAGAACCUGCAGCAGGUGCCUGCCUCCGAGCUCCAUGAGCAGGUGACCCUGAGCUACGGCAUGUUUGAGAACAAGCGGAACGCGGUCCAUGUGAAGGGCCCCUUCUCAGUGGAGGCUGACCCGUCCAGGUUCCGCUCCAUCCACUGCCACCUGUACCCGGACACACCCUGGUGUCCUCACACCGCCAUCUUCUAGCACCAUGGCCGAGACCCCUGUCCCUGGGUGCCCCUGGUAUCCAAAGGGCCCAGGGACCCCUGUUGUGCCGCCCUGGCCUUGGCCUUCAAAGCUCCCCCAGGGCCCCAUCCCUGUGCGUGUGUGUCACGUGCCCACCAGGAAGUGGGCUGCUGGGCAGUUCCGCUCCUUGAGCUGGCAGGAGGACCCCACACCCUGUGGUCCCUCUGUGGGCAGCACUGUGUUCUUAGGAUUUUGGAUCUCUUGCUCAGGGUCUCUGUGCAGGGAUGUGGGUUCCCCUCCCUGCUGAGCACAGGCCCUGGUCCUGAGCCAUCCUUUGAGCAGGGGAAGCUGCUCUGGGGGUGAGAGGCCUGCACCUCUCCUCCUGGGACCUCUGGCACUAUGUGUGGCUCUGAGUAACAGCAGCCACUGCCCCAUCCCAGUGACCCCAGGACUCCCCCAGUGGCUGUGCAGCUAGUGAACAGCCCUCCUAGGUCGGGGGUGGGGGUCCUUCCAGCCCCCUGAGAUCCUGCCUUUGUCUCCCCAGAUUGGGGGAGUCAGAGAUGAGCAUUUUAUCUCCUCUCCAAAGUAGAGAGAAUGUCGCCCACAGUGGGUGUGUCUGUAAAUACUGUGACAGUAUUUUUUACUGUGCUGUUUUGAAAGGGGGUGGGUAAAGGGGGGGGGGGUUGUGUGCUCUUUUCCAGGGUGGGUGAGGAGGGUCUUAUUUUAUGUUUUCUGUGGAUCAGAAAAAGCAGACACCAAACUUGGGGUCCUCUUUUGUAAAGCUGACUGGGAACGUCUAACUCGCUCUGUAUUUAUGUGUUCCAGUAUCUGGAAUCCACUCCCUCGUUGUCCCCAGGCCACCAGGCUCAUGUGGCUUCUGGCCUGAGGGGCAGGUUCCGAGGAUGGCUGCCCCCAGCAGACUGACAUCCUGCCAACUCUCACCCUGGCUGGCCCCUUCCAGAACUGCCCACCGUUUGUGAAACUUUCAAAAGUAAAGCCACGUGCAGGCUGCCGGGUGCUCAGCAAGGGGCGAGACUCAGCCCCAACCUCAGCUUCCGCUUUCCGGGUGGGUUGGGGGAGGGGGAGGGGCGCAGGGGCUGGACAGGGCUGAGCCCCUUCCGGAGAGGUUGCCAGUGUGAGCCGGUCCCUGCUCUGUUCAAACUGACUUCCACAGGGGUCCCCAAAACUGACGUCCUGGAAGAGGCUCCUCUUGGCUGCAGUGGGAAAGCUCUGUAAAAUGAGAGCUGGCCGUUCCAGCUUGACACAGACCAGGGAAAGGUGUGUGUGUGUGUGGGGGGGCACUGGGUAGAGGCCCGGAAAGCCGGGAGGCAGGGUGGGCAACGGGAUCGGGACCCCAGACCCUCCCCACCACACCUGAUCCACCCCCAGGAGCAAGCAGGUGGCGAGUCCGACCUGCUGGGUGGCUUCUCCAAGCCCCUUUUCUGGACCUGUAAAGAGGGUAGCAGGGGCCAGGUCCUGGACCUCUCCUAUGCCAGUGAGACAAAUUGCCAGACCUGCCACUAGAGGCCUGUCGCCACCCCAGCCCCAGCCUUAUUGGACGUUCUAGGAGGUGCCUCCUCCCAACUCUGCUUUCUGAGCCCAGGACCAGGCACCCCAGAAAGCCACUUGGGACAAACUUAGGAGGGAUCUGGGGACCAGGAGGGCCCUCAUCUUGACCCCUAGAGGUUUCCCAGAUGUUGCCACGAAGAAUGGGGCCCCACAGUUGUGGCUAUUACCCCGUGUAUCCUAAGCACCCAGUUCCCUGCCGCUACAUCCCCAAUAAAACCAGACACAGUCUUUGGGCGCCCUCUGGCGGCAACAGCUGCUGGCGACUCCCAGGCUGAAUCCUGCUCUCCCUGAGAAUCACGCCUGGACAGAGGCAUGUAAGCCAAGCGGAGGAAGGGAGUGACCAUUGCAGCUGUGCUUGCGCUUCGAAGCUCACUGCACACCCUCACCAACGACGCGGGGCAUAUUCACCAGCAUUUAACUCACGCAAAAUGGGGAACGUCAAGCAUCGGGGCAGAACCAGCGACCUCAGGAAGCCCCAGGCCCCUCCUGCAGGCCCAAACCAGAGGUGUCUGGCAAGACGUCCUCGGGGGGACCGCGCCGCUUCUCUCCAGCAGGCUCUUGCCUGCCAGCUGAGCCGCACAGCUCCUUUGGUACCUGUGGGGUUGCGCGUCCCCGACUCGGGGGCAGGAGCCCCAGUGGAGUCCGCCCACUAGGGCUCCCGCCAUUGCCGCCGAAGACUCACCGCCCCCUGCUGGCACUUGCCGGUUCCGCACCUAACUUCUGGAGCGCCUCUUCGGUUUCCAGAUACUCCUAUGGAGCCCCUCCAAAGCAAUAAAUCUCUGCUU